rnacentral:rRNA from 1 species
GACGAACGCUGGCGGCGUGCUUAACACAUGCAAGUCGUACGGUAAGGCCCUUUCGGGGGUACACGAGUGGCGAACGGGUGAGUAACACGUGAGUAACCUGCCCACAACUUUGGGAUAACGCUAGGAAACUGGUGCUAAUACUGGAUAUGUGCUCCUGCUGCAUGGUGGGGGUUGGAAAGCUCCGGCGGUUGUGGAUGGACUCGCGGCCUAUCAGCUUGUUGGUGGGGUAGUGGCCUACCAAGGCGGCGACGGGUAGCCGGCCUGAGAGGGUGACCGGCCACAUUGGGGCUGAGAUACGGCCCAGACUCCUACGGGGGGCAGCAGUGGGGAAUAUUGCACAAUGGGCGCAAGCCUGAUGCAGCAACGCCGCGUGCGGGAUGACGGCCUUCGGGUUGUAAACCGCUUUCAGCAGGGACGAAGCUUUUUGUGACGGUACCUGCAGAAGAAGCACCGGCUAACUACGUG